rnacentral:rRNA from 1 species
AUUGAACGCUGGCGGCAUGCCUUACACAUGCAAGUCGAACGGUAACAGGUUAAGCUGACGAGUGGCGAACGGGUGAGUAAUAUAUCGGAACGUGCCCAGUCGUGGGGGAUAACUGCUCGAAAGAGCAGCUAAUACCGCAUACGACCUGAGGGUGAAAGCGGGGGAUCGCAAGACCUCGCGCGAUUGGAGCGGCCGAUAUCCGAUUAGGUAGGUGGUGGGGUAAAAGCCUACCAAGCCAACGAUCUGUAGCCGGUCUUAGAGGACGACCAGCCACACUGGGACUGAGACACGGCCCAGACUCCUACGGGAGGCAGCAGUGGGGAAUUUUGGACAAUGGACGCAAGUCUGAUCCAGCCAUGCCGCGUGCGGGAAGAAGGCCUUCGGGUUGUAAACCGCUUUUGUCAGGGAAGAAAAGGUUCUGGUUAAUACCUGGGACUCAUGACGGUACCUGAAGAAUAAGCACCGGCUAACUACGUGCCAGCCGCCGCAGUAA